rnacentral:SRP_RNA from 1 species
GCCGGGCAUAGUGGCACGCGCCUGUAGUCCCAGCUACUCGGGAGUCUGAGGUGGGAGGAUCGCUUGAGUCCAGGAGUUCUGGGCUGCAGUGCGCUAUGCCGAUCGAUCGGGUGUCCGCACUAAAUUUGGCAUCAAUAUAGUGACCUCCCGGGAGCGGGGGACCACCAGAUUGCCUAAGGAGGGGUGAACCGGCCCAGGUCGGAAAUGGAGCAGGUCAAAAAAAUCUUCAAAAGAAUUGUUAGACAUCUCUUUCCAGUUUCUUUACUUUCAUGCUCUUUAAAAUCU